AUUUUGGUAGCAAUAUCUGAAUGUUCAGUGGCGAACGGGUGCGUAACACGUGGAUACCUUCCGGAAAGUGAGAAAUAGCCCAGGGAAACUUGGAUUAAUAUCUCAUGUGAUCGCAAGAUCAAAGGCGCAAGCCGCUUUCUGAUGGGUCUGCGGCCUAUCAGCUUGUUGGUGAGGUAAAAGCUCACCAAGGCGACGACGGGUAGCUGGUCUGAGAGGACGAUCAGCCACACUGGAACUGAGACACGGUCCAGACACCUACGGGUGGCAGCAGUCGAGAAUCUUUCACAAUGGGCGAAAGCCUGAUGGAGUGACGCCGCGUGGAGGUUAAGGUCUUCGGAUUGUAAACUCCUGUCGUGCGAGAACAAAGCCCGCAAGGGUCUGAUAGUAUCGCAAGAGGAAGAGACGGCUAACUCUGUGCCAGCAGCCGCGGUAAUA
rnacentral:rRNA from 1 species